GUGAAUCAUCAAAUCUUUGAACGCAAAUUGCACUCUCUGGUGUUCCGGAGAGUAUGCCUGUUUGAGGGUCAGUUUAAAUAAAAAUCUGUGUUGUUUCUGCCUUUCGUGGUGACGCACCGGAUUUGGGUUGUCUUGACUUCGGUUAAGUGACCUAGAAUUUUUCAUGAUUCUUUUCGAACGUAUUUAAAUGCUUUUACGUACGUUUGCGAUAUCGAAU
rnacentral:misc_RNA from 1 species